UACAGAGGCCUCGAGCGUUAGGCGGAAUCACUGGGCUUAAAGCGUGUGUAGGUGGAUGCCUAAGUGCCUUGUGAAAUCCCACGGCUUAACCGUGGAAUUGCUGGGCAUACUGGGUGUCUUGAGCCACUCAGGGGCUACCGGAACAAAUGGUGGAGCGGUGAAAUGCGUAGAUAUCAUUUGGAACGCCAAUGGUGAAAACAGGUAGCUGGGGGUGUGCUGACGCUGAGACACGAAAGCCAGGGGAGCAAACGGG
rnacentral:rRNA from 1 species